rnacentral:rRNA from 1 species
GUAAGGAAUAUUGGUCAAUGGGCGGAAGCCUGAACCAGCCAUGCCGCGUGCAGGAUGACUGCCCUAUGGGUUGUAAACUGCUUUUGUCCGGGAAUAAACCUAAAUACGUGUAUUUAGCUGAAUGUACCGGAAGAAUAAGGAUCGGCUAACUCCGUGCCAGCAGCCGCGGUAAUACGGAGGAUCCGAGCGUUAUCCGGAUUUAUUGGGUUUAAAGGGUGCGUAGGCGGCGCGUUAAGUCAGGGGUGAAAUACGGUGGCUCAACCAUCGCAGUGCCUUUGAUACUGACGUGCUUGAAUCCAUAUGAAGUGGGCGGAAUAAGACAAGUAGCGGUGAAAUGCAUAGAUAUGUCUUAGAACUCCGAUUGCGAAGGCAGCUCACUAAGCUGGUAUUGACGCUGAUGCACGAAAGCGUGGGGAUCGAACAGGAUUAGAAACCCUAGUAGUCC